rnacentral:rRNA from 1 species
GGAGUCUGGUCCGUGUCUCAGUACCAGUGUGGGGGACCUUCCUCUCAGAACCCCUAAGGAUCGUCGGCUCGGUGGGCCGUUACCCCGCCGACUGCCUAAUCCUACGCAUCCCCAUCCCAUAGCGAUCAAUCUUUGCUCCGAAUCAGAUGUCAUCCUCGGAAUACAUAGGGUAUUAAUCCGCAUUUCUACGGGCUAUGCCCUACUAUGGGGAAGGUUGGAUACGCGUUACUCACCCGUGCGCCGGUCGCCAUCUACCAAAGCAAGCUUCGAUAAUGCUGCCCCUCGACUUGCAUGUGUUAAGCCUGUAGCUAGCGUUCAUC